rnacentral:rRNA from 1 species
AUUGAACGCUGGCUGCAGGCCUAACACAUGCAAGUCGAGCGGAGCCGCGGACGGGCGAGUAAUGCCUAGGAACCUGCCCGGCAGUGGGUUAUAACGUCCGGAAACGUGCGCUAAUACCGCAUACUAUCAUAUGAGCCUAGGUCGGAUUAGCUAGUUUGUGGGGUAAAGGCCUACCAAGGCGACGCUCCGUAACUGUGCUGAGAGGAUGUUCAGUCACACUGGAAAGGAGACACGGUCCAGACUACUACGGGAGGCAGCGGUGGGGAAUGUUAGACGAUGGGAGGAAGCCUGAUCCAGCCAUGCCGCGUGUGUGGAGAAGGUAUUCGGAUUGUAAAGGACAAUAAGUUGGAAGGCGUUACCAAAAGAAUAAGCACCGGCUAACUUCGUGCCAGCAGCCGCGGUAAUAC